AACGUCCCAGUUCGGACUGUAGUCUGCAACCCGACUACACGAAGCUGGAAUCGCUAGUAAUCGCGAAUCAGAAUGUCGCGGUGAAUACGUUCCCGGGUCUUGUACACACCGCCCGUCACACCAUGGGAGUCGGGAAUGCCCGAAGUCAGUGACCCAACCUAUAGGAGGGAGCUGCCGAAGGCAGGUCUGAUAACUGGGGUGAAGUCGUAACAAGGUAUC
rnacentral:rRNA from 1 species